UCAGGACAGAUCUCAGACGCAGGCUAGUCAGCGAGGAAACGCACCGCAAACGUGUGUGCGCCAGCCAGACUCUUUCGCGUUAUUUUUUUAUUCUGGGGGAGACUGGGUAAAAGCACUUGGCUCGAACGCCGCAGCUGUCAGGAGGGCACCCUUCUCUCCUGGCCUAGGGUUCUUUGCUAAUCUGCAGUCUCCCAAUGAGUCUCGGGAGGAUCUGCCUUCGAUUUCUGCACAGCGGCUCCGGAAAAUGAAGGCGGGCAGGAGACGCUCGCCUCGGAGGCUGGACUCGCUCCAGAGGCGGGACGACUCCACGAGACUCUCGGGGACCAGACAGAGCCGCGGGAGGCUCCCGGUGGCCUUGACCUUGGUGUCCGAGGCUCAGUUUUCCGUCCCCCCGGCUCGGGGUGGUGACACAGCCUGGCCUGGGCCAAAGCAGCUGAGCGUCAUCUCUGCACCGUGGCCAGGCUGAGGAUUCCAGAGCCUUUGUUGGAUCACACCGCUUCCGCCAAUGACAGCCAAAGUCCUUCCGGCCAGCAGGCGUCUUCUGGUCUUCCGCGGAGCACCUCUCCUGCACUCUCCUCUGCUUACUCAGAUAAAGCAGUUCCGCCUUGGGCCGGGGAUUCAGCUCAGUGGUUCCACCACCUGCCUCACAAGCGUGCAGACACACAGCAUGACUAAGUCCCUGCCCUCCCAGAGCUACUGUCUAAUGUCCCAGAGGUGACCGGCUCCCCUGUGUCCUCCCAGAGUGAGACACUGCAAACAUUCACCAUUCACCAGGAUUAAAGGAGGUGCUCAACUGAUGUUGAAAGUCAGGAGAAACGGGCUGAGACCUGGGAAUGAGCAGAGAUCAGUGUGCCCGGUGGAUGACGUGCCUGGUCCUGUCAGGGCGAAUGCCCUUAACUGCCUUUCUACAGUCGAGCUAGGAAUAGAAAAUGGACAGUAAUGCAGGUGACGCUUGCCCAGGGAUGCAACUGAUUUUUGCCCUAUAGAAAAGAACUCCAGGGCUGGGGAUUUAGCUCAGUGGUUCCAGUGCCUGCCUCAAAAGCGCAAGGUCCCAAGUUCGAUCCCCGGUACCAAAAAAAAAAAAAAAAAGAGAAGAACUCCAAACAUGACAUUUUAUUGCCCCAUUUUUAUUAACCAGUUUUGCAUCUUAACAAGCAUUCUUGCUUUCCUAUAAAUAUACCUCUGUUCUUCCAGUUUGAAUUGGCUUCAACAUCUUACAGGCUCCCUCAUUAAUUAAAGAGCCGAAGCAAAACUCUUUUUUUUUUGGUACCAGGGAUCGAACUCGGGACCUUGCGCUUGCGGGGCAGGCUGUGGAACCACUGAGCUAAGUCCCCGGCCUGAAGAAAAACUCUUGACACAGCAUCAUUUUAUAUUUGUAGGAGAGUCCUGAUUUUUAUCUCUAUGGAAAUUACUGUGGAGUAAAAGUGAAUUACACUCCCUCUUGUAGUGUAGCUAGCCCCCAUGGUUUUAGUACCAUCAAAUGCUGAUUACUUCCAAAUUUGUAUCUCUACCCACAACCUCUCAUUGUUUCAGAUGCAUAUAUUCAGCUGUCUUUUUCAUAUUUCCACUUGGAUAGCUAAUAGACAUUUUAGAAUUCCAAAUUAAAUUCUAGAUUCCCACUCUCAACUACACCUGCUUCUCCUAGUUGUUGUUGUUGUUGUUGUUUUUUGGUACCAGGGAUUGAACUCUGGUCCUUGCACUUGCACAGCAGGCGGCGAAACCACUGAGCUAAAUCCCCGGCCCUUCCUGGGGGGGGGUUGUGUCUUUAAAUGCAACACCAACAACCCAAUUGCUUGGGCCAAAAUCCCAAGAGUCAAACUGUGGCCCAAAGCAUUAUUUUCUCUUAUACCUCACAUUCAAUCUGUUAGCAAAACCUGGGUAAUCUACCUUCAGUGUAUAUAUGCUUGAGCUGGGGAUUUAGCUCAGUGGUUCCGCAGCCUGCCUCAUAAGUGCAAGGACCCAAGUUUGAUCCCCGGUACCAAACAAACAAACAAUGUAUAUAUGCUAAAUCCCCCUAUCUGUAAGACCACCCUCUUGAUCUAACAACCCACCAGCUAUCGCUUCUCGGCCUUUUGGCUAAGAUCAAGUGUAACACUCACCAGCUGUUUUUAUAAAUGAAGCUAUAUUGGAAGGUAGGCAUGAACAUUUGUGUACACAUCGUCCGUGAUUGCUUUUGUGCUGCGUAGCAGAGCUGAGUGGUUGUGACAGAGACUGUAGGGUCUGAAAAGCUUAAAAUCUUUACUCUGGUCCUUCCUGGAAAAUUUCACUGAUUUCUGGUGUUUCUGGGUGAAUAAUGGCUCCCAAAGAUAGCCAGUCCUGAUUCUGAGUGGAACUUGUAAACAUUGCCUUUUUUUGCAGAUGUGGUUAAGUUAAGUAUCUUGGGAUGAGGAGUUUACCUGGGGUGACCUAGGUGGGCCCUAAAUGCCACCAUGGGUUCCUAUAAAGGAGGCAAAGAGAUUUUUUUGUUUUUCAUACCAGAGAUCAAACUCGGGAUCUUGCGCUUGCAAGGCAGGUGCCAGAACCACUAAGGUAAAUCCCCGGCCCGAGACUUUUUUUUUUGGUACCGGGGAUCGAAUCGAGACUUUUAUGUUAAUUAAGUUUUUUUUUGGUACCGGGGAUUGAACUCAGGACCUUGCACUUGGGAGGCAGGCUUGGUGCCACUGAGCUAAAUCCCCCGCCCUAAUUAAGUUUUUAUUUUGACAUAACUCUAGGUUUAUAUGCACUUGGGAAGAUAAUACAGGAUGAUUUAAUGCACUCAGUUUACUCUAAUAGUAGCAUUUAGUAUAAUAUCAUAAAUAGGAAGUUGACACUAAUCUUUUCAAAUUUCACCAGGUGUGUUUUUGUUUUGUUUGUUUUCUGUAUUGGGCAUUGAACCCAGGGUCUUCAUACUGAGCUAUAACCCCAGUCCUUUCUAGUUUCUUUUUUGUAAAGUUUUUGAGCCAGGGUCUCACUAAGCUACUAAGUUGCCCAGGAUAUGCUUGAACUUUUGGUUCUCCUGCCUCAGCCUCCCAGGGUGCUGGGAUUACAGGUGCAUGCCACCACGCCUGGCUAAAUUUCAUCAGUCUUAUGGGCAUUCAUUUGUCUGUGUUGGUGUAGCGAUAUAUUUGUGUUUUUAAAAGUAGCUUUUAUGUCUUUCACAGUAACUUUGAACAUACUCUAGCAGGCGUGUUAACUUUUUUCCCUAUCUCCCAUACUACCUCCUUUAGCCUCUCCCCUUGCCUCAGUCCCCCUUUUGUUGUCUAGCAAUUUACCUUUUACUUCCAUGUCAUCUUUCCCCCCUAGGUCCACAUAUUAGGGGAAACAUGCAAUAUUUGUCUUUCUCAGUCUGGCUUAUUUUGCUUAAUAUGAUUCUCUUCUGUUCCUUCCGUUUUCCUGCAAAUGGCACGAGAGGGCCACAGUCAGAUGGAACAGACAGCGAUGUGAAAACUGUAAGGCACAAGAAGUUGGGAGAGCCCAGGGAAGGCUAGAGGCCAGAGCCCCCGGAGGACAUCUAGCCCUGCCAACAACAUCUGCGUUUUAGCUCAGGGAAACUGAUUUGGACCUCCAGGCUCCAGAACUGUAAGGGGCUGCCUUUCCUUUGUUGGAGGGCACUAAGGCAGUUUGUGUCAGCGAACACCAGCUAUGGAAAACAAAUACCCCUUGUCUAAGGCCCCAUCCUAUCUUGAUGUCUACAACAAUCUCCUAACUAGUCUGUCUGCUUCCUCUCUUGCGCACACGAGGUAAAUUCUCCAGGAUCCUUUAAAAACACUCAUAAUACUCUCAGCUCAAUAUGUGCUUCGGGCUUUGUAGUGCAACAUCCCUAGCAUAAAAUCAAAAGAUUUCACCGUGGAAUGUGAGUUGCUCUGUGUCCGGCCUUAGGUUCUUCCCUGGAUUCGUGUCCCAGCAGCCUUUCCACAGGGCCUCGUGUGGCUCCAAGAGCACACCAACUGUGCAUCUGUCUCGGGUCUUUUGAACUUGUCUCUCCUCUGCCCGAACACUGUCUACCCCACCCAUAACUGCUCAACCUCACUUCCUUCAGGACCCAGCCAGAAUUUCCCUGACCCACCAUUCUCUCAUUCUCCCACUUUCUUUUUAAAAGCAUUCAUCAUUAUCCUUCAAUCUUUGCCUUCAAUCAUAUCUUUGUGUGUUUAUCGUCUGUCUUUCCACUUUUAUUAGCUCCUUGGUAAAGAACUUUUAUCUCUUUUGUUCAGGGCUGUAUUGCCAGACCUAGAAUCAGCCUCUGCUUUGUCAUAAGCACCCAAUAAAUGUAUGCUGAAUGAUGCACACACUAAAUAAAUUUUAACCGGAUAAAAUGCCAAGGAAGCCUCAUCCCCCCUUUCUCUUCAAAGGUAACUGUGUGUUACCUCGUUAGUAUAAGCAUUGUACUUCAUGCUUUGUGCCUUGUUUUUUUCCCCAUUAAACAGUUAAGUUGGAGAUCCAUGGGAGUACACACUGUUUUACCAGCGUUUUGAAAGUGGAUUCUUUUUUUUUUGUUUUGGUACCGGGGAUCGAACUCAUUUCCUUGCGCUUGUGCAGCAGGUGGUGAAACCGCUGCUCUAAAUCCCUGGCCUGAAAGUGGAUUCUUAAUACCCCACAGCUUAAUACUUAAAGAAAAACAAGUUGCUUGCCUUGGUUGAAAAUGGAAAGGCUAAUGACAAGGAAGAGCCUCUGUGCCCACACCUUUUAAUUUACUCCCGUACAGGGGAGCGGUCUGAUGUUUCUCGGAUGCUCCUCAGUGGCCACCCAGCACGGUAGCACUAGUUUAUCAACAGCUUUUAUUUCAAGUAUUUUUAAAGAUCAUUUUCCUUUCAACAACUGAACAAAGUUUCCCAGAGAAACUGAGAACGGACAUAAACCUGUCAUCUCCAUUGGCUGCCCAGAGCCACCACCCCAAAUCGAGAGACAAGCAGAGAUUGCUGUGCAGUUGCUAAGGGCCCUUGGCCCCUGCAAUGAGACUGCUGCCCCUCCGCACCCCAGGGGUUCCCCCAACAUCUGUGUCUCCAAACAGAGGUGUGAUUCUGGGCUCUUAGAACCGUUAACUUUGUAUGUUUGUUUGUUUGUUUUGGUACUGGGGAUCGAACUCGGGUCCUUGCACUUGUGCAGCAGGCGGUGAAACCACUGAGCUAAAUUCCUGGCCCUGAACUGUUAAAUUUGAAAGUCAUGAAGCUCUUUGGACUUGUGCCCCUCUGAACCACCAAAGCCUCAUCUCUUUAGCCUAUUCCCUGUUUAGAGAAGAAGCCAUUUCUUUGACUCCAGGUCUGAAUAAACAAUUAAAACUACCAGGCUGUAAUACCAGAAGGUUCAGGAGGGAGCAGAAAGCCUCUGGUGUUAAAGGGAAGUCCAGAAAGAACAGGAUGAUUCUGAAGUCGCAUAUGAAGGUCCUGCUUCUGGAUGGUAACACACAUUGCUUGGAGAACUUCGGGGGCCCAAACUGGCAAAGAUUUGGAGCAGUGCGCUGAUGCACACCUUCUAAGAACUCCCUUUUCUAAUGGAACUUUGCCGCAGGCCACUUCCUUCACUUCAAAAGCCCAUCUCUCAGCUACCUUCCUAAGCAAACUGGAAACCACCCAGCUCUCUCACCCAACAUCCCAUUCUCUGGUCCAGGGAGUCUCCAGCUUUUUUUUUUUUCAGGCUUGUUUUACACACUGUUAUUGAAGACACCAAAGAGCUCUGGUUUAUGUGAGUGUGUUAAUCAAGAGUUAGGUACUGUAUUUGAAAUUAAAACAAAAAUUUAAAAAACAGCCACUAAGUUCAUUUAGAAAGAAUAAUAAACCUAUUACAGAUUAACAUAAAUCAUAUUUUUAAAAACAAGGAAUGGCUGAAUUUUCCAAAACAUUAGCAGUAAGAAUUAUUUUUAUAGUUUUGCAAAUUUCCCUUAAAAUCCAACUUUUAAGACCGCUGGAUGCUCCUGCUUCUGCAUUCUGUCUUGUGAGAUUACAUUAUGUAGCCUCUGCUAGAGAAGAGACUGGUUUUUUGGGGGAUGAGCUCUCUGAGAGAUGAUAGCUUUUUUUGAAAAUACUUUUGAUCUUGUGGAUAUACUGAAUGAACUUGGGAGUCCCUGGUACCCAUUUUGAGAACUGUGAUAUUGGUCAUUUCAGUGGUGACAGUGAGUCUCCAAAGGCCCGGAUGACAUUCCUCACUUCCUUCCUUCCCGUGUUGCCCUGCUGUUGACCUUUGCUAACCUGGUAGACUGAAGGGAUCCUCCUGCUUCAGGCUCCCGCAUGUCACCGUACCUGGCUUAACAUUUUUUAAUUUAAUCUUUCUUUUAGUUAUAAAAGCAACAUAGCUCUAUUAUGGCUAUCUACUAGUGAAUAGAACAUACACAUAUAUGCAGUUUUGUACAGUUAUCAUUAGAUUGUGUUUUACAAAUGAACACCGUGAUUCUGAACCCCACCCCUACUCCUGGAAGUGGGUAAGCUUUUCUCUUUCUAACGUCAAACAGCAGCAUCAUGUUCUACUGUGUAGAUAUAACACAAUUACUAAAUACCCAAUAUUGCACAUUUGAAUGCUUCCAAUUUCUUCUUGUAAUAAGUACAGUCCUGUGAAGAAUAUCUUCACACAUCUAGCUUUUUUGACAUUUAGUGCUAUUUCCUUAGAAUAGAUUCCCAGAAUUAAGAUUACUGGGUCAAAAGAUGCAGACAUUUUUAUAGCUUUUAAUACAUACUGUAAAAUUGCUUUUCAAAAGGGCUAUACUAAUUUACAAUGCCACCAACACUUUCAAGAAUGUUUCAGCACACAAAUCGUCAACCCAGGUGCCAUUAAGAAUGCUAAUCAAUAAAAUAUUGUACCCUAGUUGUUAAAA